CCUUGUAUUUAAUGCUGUUGGUGGAGGCACUGGUUCUGGUCUGGGUUCCCUUCUUUUGGAGCGUCUGUCUGUGGACUAUGGCAAGAAAUCAAAACUUGGAUUCACUGUUUAUCCCUCACCACAGAUCUCAACCUCUGUUGUGGAGCCUUACAACAGUGUGCUCUCGACCCAUUCACUCUUGGAGCACACUGAUGUUUCUGUGCUGUUGGAUAAUGAGGCCAUAUAUGAUAUUUGCAAGCGGUCCCUUGACAUUGAACGCCCCACUUAUACCAACCUCAAUCGUUUGGUUUCUCAGGUACUGAUGAGCGCUUAUUUAGCAAAUCAUUUGUUAACCCAGUGAGAUUAUAUUCCUGACUAUAUAUUUACAUGUUCCAGGUCAUUUCCUCCUUGACCGCUUCUUUAAGGUUUGAUGGAGCCUUGAAUGUUGAUGUGACUGAGUUCCAGACCAAUCUGGUGCCAUACCCAAGGAUCCACUUCAUGCUUUCUUCUUAUGCCCCUGUUAUCUCCGCUGAGAAGGCCUAUCAUGAACAGCUAUCAGUUGCAGAGAUCACUAACAGUGCAUUUGAGCCCUCUUCUAUGAUGGCGAAGUGUGAUCCUCGCCAUGGGAAAUACAUGGCUUGCUGUCUGAUGUACCGAGGUGAUGUGGUGCCUAAGGAUGUGAAUGCCGCUGUUGGUACCAUCAAGACCAAGCGCACCAUUCAGUUUGUUGACUGGUGCCCAACUGGUUUCAAGUGUGGUAUCAACUAUCAGGCCCCAACUGUUGUCCCAGGUGGUGAUCUUGCCAAAGUACAGAGAGCUGUGUGCAUGAUCUCAAAUUCGACCAGUGUUGCAGAGGUUUUCUCACGUAUAGACACCAAAUUUGACCUCAUGUACUCAAAGAGGGCUUUCGUUCACUGGUAUGUUGGUGAGGGAAUGGAAGAAGGUGAGUUCUCUGAAGCCCGUGAGGAUCUUGCUGCCCUUGAGAAGGACUAUGAGGAGGUUGGUGCAGAGUCUGCUGAGGGGGAUGAUGAAGAUGAAGGAGAAGAUUACUAGAAGAUAAGGAGUUGCGUGGACAGUUGAUUUCUAUUUUGCUUUUGCAUUACGCAUGGCCUUGUUUUAUUUGCAACAACUCUUUAUGCUGUUCUCUAUGUUUGCUGUUU
rnacentral:lncRNA from 1 species